GUGGGGAAUAUUGGACAAUGGGCGCAAGCCUGAUCCAGCCAUGCCGCGUGAGUGAUGAAGGCCCUAGGGUUGUAAAGCUCUUUCACCGGAGAAGAUAAUGACGGUAUCCGGAGAAGAAGCCCCGGCUAACUUCGUGCCGGCAGCCGCGGUAAUACGAAGGGGGCUAGCGUUGUUCGGAAUUACUGGGCGUAAAGCGCACGUAGGCGGACAUUUAAGUCAGGGGUGAAAUCCCGGGGCUCAACCCCGGAACUGCCUUUGAUACUGGGUGUCUGGAGUAUGGAAGAGGUAAGUGGAAUUCCGAGUGUAGAGGUGAAAUUCGUAGAUAUUCGGAGGAACACCAGUGGCGAAGGCGGCUUACUGGUCCAUUACUGACGCUGAGGUGCGAAAGCGUGGGGAGCAAACAGGAUUAGAAACCCCGGUAGUCC
rnacentral:rRNA from 1 species